GGAGAUGCCCCAGCCUUCUCCUCCCAUGCACACCAUCAGGGAGGAGUAGAGGCAGGCCCAGCCCCUGCUACCUGGAGCUGCGCCACCCAUGGGGGGUUUGUGGGGGUGUUCUGGCCCCUGCCCCUCUGAGCUCCACCCACAGCCGUCCCUGCUUCCUCAGGGCCUGGCCCAGCACAAGCCAGUGCUGCUGUUCUUAACCCACGGGGAGUCGUCCACCGGCGUGCUGCAGCCCCUUGAUGGCUUCGGGGAACUCUGCCACAGGUACAAGUGCCUGCUCCUGGUGGAUUCGGUGGUAUCCCUGGGCGGGACCCCCCUUUACAUGGACCAGCAAGAAAGAAGAUGUACUCCCGCAGGACGAAGCCCUUCUCCUUCUACCUGGACAUCAAGUGGCUGGCCAACUUCUGGGGCUGUGACCACCAGCCCAGGAUGUACCAUCACACAAUCCCGGUCAUCAGCCUGUACAGCCUGAGAGAGAGCCUGGCCCUCAUUGCGGAACAGGUGCAUGGG
rnacentral:sRNA from 1 species